GAUCCCUUUUGGAAUACUGUUCAACUAUGUUAAACUGUUUCCAGUAGAUUACGCUUGAAUUUAUACCAUUUUCAGGGAUGACACUGCUGUAGGUGAAACUACAUGUUAUAGUUGGAACUGGAUGAUACUACAGGAGUUCAGACAACAAAGACAGACUACAGUUUUCAAACUGAUGUGUCAAUCUGCUUUAUAUACACAUUUGGUACCGAUUUUGGGUUUCCAGAGUAUUAUUUCCACUUUCUCUUGCCAGCCAGUGAUCCAUGUGGGAAAAUCAGCUGCUCUCUCUUUCACAAUUUCCUCCUAGCUCAUGUUCAAAGCUUUUAUAUAAGUAUUUUUAAGAAGUGUCCAACUUGAAUUCCCUUGGAUCUGCCUCAUGGACUAGUACUCAACAGAAUAAGAACGGAAAAGGCUGGACAGAUUUGCUCCUUUGUCUGGAUAUUUAGGUAUUAAAAGAAAUCUCAUGAUGCUGCUUAGACAAAACAAGAUUCUUCUGGCCCACCAGCGAUAAACUUCUUUGGCCAUCUUAUUCAAGCAUUUUAUGUGAAACAUACCCGCAGCCUUCGGAAGUACAUAUGGGAUACAUUUUGUGGAAGGUGGGAAAACUUCUCUGGAAAGGCUGAAGAAUCAUUGGCUGUAAGGCUAGGAUCUCCACUUGAUUUCCUGGAUGUAAUUGACUCCUUUUACAUGGAAGAUAAAAAGGGUCUACUAGCAUCUGUAUCCAGUUUAUCAUUGGAUAGAAUCAACAUCAAAAUGCCAGGAGGCCAGAACACAUAAGCACUAGGAUCUUCUGAAGUUAAAAUCAGGGUCACUGAAGCAUGCUAAAGAAUUGUUGCUGGCAAGUAUUACAUUCUUGUGGCCGAUGUUUAUUUUCAAGAUAACCUUUUGACAAAAGUACAAGAACCGCAGAUUCCAUUUUCUGUGAAGAAGAAAUUAUGUUAGUUACGCAUAUUAUAAUGAAGGGGUGAAUGUACUGACAUGAUAUGUGAUGAAGAAACCCAGGAAAGCACUGGUGGGUGUUUUUUUCUUUUUUUGGCUGAUAAAUGUCUAUCAGGCAAGAAUGCAUCACAAAGUUGCAUUUUAUUUCCCUUUUUUAUAUAUAAGACAGAGAAUAUUUGAUAGCUAAUGCUUACCACUUAUUAAGUUAAGUAUGCAAGAUCCGUGAUAAAGUGACUCAGUCCAUCAGCUGAUGCUGCAUGACAUCCUACUGGCUGUUACAGAGGAGAAUAAACUAUUUUGUUUCUUUUA